rnacentral:rRNA from 1 species
AUUGUACGCUGGCGGCAUGCCUUACACAUGCAAGUCGAACGGCAGCACGGGUGCUUGCACCUGGUGGCGAGUGGCGAACGGGUGAGUAAUACAUCGGAACAUGUCCUGUAGUGGGGGAUAGCCCGGCGAAAGCCGGAUUAAUACCGCAUACGAUCCACGGAUGAAAGCGGGGGACCUUCGGGCCUCGCGCUAUAGGGUUGGCCGAUGGCUGAUUAGCUAGUUGGUGGGGUAAAGGCCUACCAAGGCGACGAUCAGUAGCUGGUCUGAGAGGACGACCAGCCACACUGGGACUGAGACACGGCCCAGACUCCUACGGGAGGCAGCAGUGGGGAAUUUUGGACAAUGGGCGAAAGCCUGAUCCAGCAAUGCCGCGUGUGUGAAGAAGGCCUUCGGGUUGUAAAGCACUUUUGUCCGGAAAGAAAUCCUUGACUCUAAUACAGUCGGGGGAUGACGGUACCGGAAGAAUAAGCACCGGCUAACUACGUG